CUGUUUUUCAAGAUACAAAACCAACAAACACAAAAAUGAAUUUCUUCAUCUUUAUUUGGAUUCUGGGAGCUUUUAUUCCAGAAUCCAGAGGAGUCACUGUAACUCAGACUGAAGUUGUGACUAAAACUGCAGGAGAAGAAGUCACUAUAAAGUGUAAAACUGAUCCUGGAAUAGAUAGCUGGGGUUUAAAUUGGUAUCAGCAGAAACCUGGAGAAGCUCCAAAACUCAUCAUUUGGGGAGUUAAUGAUCUCUAUGAUGACAAUUUACAACGAUUCAGUGGAAAUGGAGAACAAGAUGGAACUGAUUUCACUCUGACCAUCAGUGGAGUCCAGACUGAAGAUGCAGGACAUUAUUACUGUCAGAGUUAUCAUGAGAUCAGUGGCAGUUAUGUGUUCACACAGUGA